rnacentral:rRNA from 1 species
UACGUAGGGGGCUAGCGUUGUCCGGAAUCAUUGGGCGUAAAGAGCGUGUAGGCGGCCCGGUAAGUCCGCUGUGAAAAGUCGGGGGGCUCAACCCUCGAAUGCCGGUGGAUACUGUCGGGCUAGAGUGCGGAAGAGGCGAGUGGAAUUCCUGGUGUAGCGGUGAAAUGCGCAGAUAUCAGGAGGAACACCGGUGGCGAAGGCGGCAUCCUGGACCGACAUUGACG